GAAGAAGUGAGACGCCUCAAGAUGAAAGAAUACAAUCUGAAAGGAUUGAGAGGGAGGACCAUACAGUGACCUGGUGGAGGGCUGAAUCACAAAGAAGGAGUUCCCGGAGGGCGAGGAGAGACAUGCUGUGAGCAACCACUAGAAGGGGAGCAUCAGACCUGAUUGGAGCUCGUCCCAAGACAUGGUCACAAGGAGGAGCCGCAGUGACAUGCAUGUUUCUUCUAACACCUGGAAAAGAAAGAUUUAAUUCAAAACCUUUCUGAAACCUAGUAAUAUCCAAUAGCAAUGGUCUCAUUGCUCUUUACAGAGCAUGGUAUAUGCACCAAUGAGUUCUUUGAUGGCUGCUGAGUCCAAUGCGUGAGUGACAGUCCCAUCCACAGGUAGGGCACACCCACAAACUAGCAGUGCUCCGUGUGACACCCUGGCACCCACUAUUCACCACUGUUGUACAAAGUAUGUUGUGUUGAGGCAUCAUGUUAGAAGUCUUGAUCUGCUAGACAUUAAUAUUUCGUUGAACUGUAAGUGCUAUUGUUGUAUGUGAAGUUAUGAAGUUUGGCUAUGUAUGUGUUACCAAAACAUGUUGUGAGGUUGAAAACACCCACAAGCAGCCUUUCCGGUACAACAGUAAAAAGGCCAAACAAACAAUGUUAAUGGCUUAUUGAGGAAAUGCACACAAGCAACAAGGAUUACCCCAGGAACUGUGUACAAUAGAAACCUCUGAGAUAGUUCCCAUUGUGUGGUGCUGUUUGACCCAGGUCAUGACAGAAGAGCUUUCCAGCAGGUGGGAAGAAGAUAUAAAAAGGGGACAAUGACAUCAUGAGGAUACCUCACUCUCCCUGCAACAACACCUGGAAACACCUGAGGGGCAAGGACUGCACUCUGGGAAGUGAUGGUCCCAGGCUAGAAGGAUCUUUAGCCUGUGUAUGAAAACCUGGGAAAGCUAAGGCAGCUUGUGCCUUCAGAGUCUGCCAGCCGGUUUAUCACUCAGGGUGAGAAUUUGCUAGUUUAUAUGCUACCUCUCUAGUGUGUUAAGCUCAG